ACACCAUAUAAACAAGUGUAUGCGUGCAAAGAGGAAGCAGGUUCGAGCUUGUCGGCGCAGGCAGCCAGCGUCAACCAGCUUUCCUGUUUCCCCCGAACCAUUCUUGCCUGCUUUCUCUCGUGAGUAGACGUCUGCUUCAGGAUGGACUUAGAAUUAUUUAUCAGCAAAGUGUUUGAGAAACCACCAUUGCGGGACAAGAGCUCCACGCAAACAGGAUUGUCGGUGACAAGCUGUGGGCAGAAGUCAGCAAAGAACUAGACUGUGAAGGCGGCAAGAACCUCGCGGCGCUUCUGCUCCUGGCGCUGUGCGUGUGUGCUUCAGCUGAGGAGUGGUCGUGGCGCCUCGUGCAUGACGGCCACCUGAUCAACCCUUGCACCCGCAGCGCCGCCAUUCUGUCCAACGACAUGCUGAUGUAGAUGAAGACACCGCCAACACCACCACCACCACCACCACCACUAGAGCGACCCCAGAAGCUGAGUCUCGCGUCAGGAGAGACCUGCUGGUCACCACCAACACCGCCGCUGCCUUGGCUGAGGGGGCGGCAGAAACCUCGCGGCGCUUCUGCUCCUGGCGUUGUGCGUGUGUGCUUCAGCUGAGGACUGGUCGUGGCGUCCCUUGCACCACGGCCACCUGAUCGACCCUCGCCCCCGCAGCGCCGCCAUUCUGUCCAACAACAC